rnacentral:rRNA from 1 species
UACAGAGGUCUCAAGCGUUGUUCGGAUUCAUUGGGCGUAAAGGGCGCGUAGGCGGCGGGGUAAGUCUGGUGUGAAAUCUAGGAGCUCAACUCCUAAACUGCACUGGAUACUGCUCUGCUAGAGGACUGGAGAGGAGACUGGAAUUCACGGUGUAGCAGUGAAAUGCGCAGAUAUCGGGAGGAACACCGGUGGCGAAGGCGGUUCUCUGGGCCUGUUCUGACGCUGAGGAGCGAAAGCGUGGGGAGCGAACAGG